UGGGAAUCUUGCACAAUGGGCGAAAGCCUGAUGCAGCAACGCCGCGUGCGGGAAGACAGCCCUAGGGUUGUAAACCGCUUUCAGCAGGGAAGAAACUGACGGUACCUGCAGAAGAAGAUGCGGCCAACUACGUGCCAGCAGCCGCGGUGACACGUAGGCAUCAAGCGUUAUCCGGAUUUAUUGGGCGUAAAGAGCUCGUAGGCGGUUCGGUAAGUCGGGUGUGAAAACUCUGGGCUCAACCCAGAGAGGCCACUCGAUACUGCUGUGACUAGAGUGCGGUAGGGAGCGGGAAUUCCUGGUGUAGCGGUGAAUGCGCAGAUAUCAGGAGGAACACCAGUGGCGAAGGCGCCGCUCUGGGCCGUAACUGACGCUGAGGAGCGAAAGCAUGGGUAGCAAACAGGAUUAGAUACCCUGGUAGUCCACACC
rnacentral:rRNA from 1 species